rnacentral:rRNA from 1 species
CCCGCUGAACUUAAGCAUAUCAAUAAGCGGAGGAAAAGAAACUAACAAGGAUUCCCCUAGUAACGGCGAGUGAAGCGGGAAGAGCUCAAAUUUAAAAUCUGGUUUGCUUUGCAAAUCCGAGUUGUAGUCUGAAGAAACGUUUUCCAUGAAAGCUGAGGCACAAGUCCUUUGGAACAGGGCAUCAUAGAGGGUGAGAAUCCCGUCCAUGGUCUCAAGCCUUUCAUUUUGUGAUACGUUUUCUAAGAGUCAGGUUGUUUGGGAAUGCAGCCUAAAAUGGGUGGUAAAUUUCAUCUAAAGCUAAAUAUUGGCGAGAGACCGAUAGCGAACAAGUACCGUGAGGGAAAGAUGAAAAGAACUUUGAAAAGAGAGUUAAAAAGUACGUGAAAUUGUUGAAAGGGAACCGUUUGAAGCCAGUCGCGCCCCCUGGAAUUCAGCCCUGCUUUUGUAGGGUGUACUUUCCAGGGGGCGGGCCAACAUCAGUUUUGACCGGCAGAUAAAGGCUGGGGGAAUGUGGCUCCUUCGGGAGUGUUAUAGCCCCUGGUCACAUAUGCCGGUUGGGACUGAGGAACGCAGCGCGCCCUUGUGGCAGGCCUUCGGGCACUUUCGCGCUUAGGAUGUUGGCAUAAUGGCUUUAAGCGACCCGUCUUGAAACACGG